rnacentral:rRNA from 1 species
GACGGGGGGUCCUAGCGUUGUUCGGAAUCAUUGGGCGUAAAGCGUGUGCAGGUGGCUCUGCAAGUUAGAUGUGAAAGCCCCGGGCUCAACCCGGGAAGUGCAUUUAAAACUGCAGAGCUUGAAUAUGGAAGAGGGUCGUGGGAAUUCCUGGUGUAGUGGUGAAAUACGUAAGAUAUCAGGAGGAACACCGGUGGCGAAGGCGGGUCUCUGGGCCGAUAC